AUUGUGUUGGACUUUUACAAUCGAGUUCCUUCUCCGUCUGGUGUAAGAUCAACCACCAAACAGGAUGCGUCCCCUGAAGGAUGGUUGGCCCUCUAAACGUCAGCAAAGCUCCAUCAGCUCUGUGCUUUUCCACCAAAUUGUUGUCCUUCUUUUUCUGACGCCGAGCUGUGCAGCUCAGUCUCUGGUGUUUACACCAUCGCAGCUAAUUGUAGCCAGAGUUGGUGAAGACAUUGUGUUGCCAUGUUAUCUGGACCCUCCUCUAACGACUGUGGGGGCAUCUGCACGAAUGGGGCCCAGGCAAUGGCAGGGAAACGGGGAGGGCUGCAAGCGCUCAUCAAGCGCGUCUCCCCCGACGUGCAUUGCACGCACUGCAUGAUCCACAGAGAAGCGCUCGCUUCUAAACAGCUGAGUCCUGAGCUUAACGAUGUGAUGACAGAUAUUAUUGCCACGGUAAACUUCAUAAAGACUAGACCCGUCAAAGCCCGAAUAUUUUCUGCACUGUGCGAGGAGAUGGGCUCUGGUCACACUGCUUUAUUGUUCCACAGUGAGUCUCAGUGGCUGUCACGUGGAAAGGUUUUGUCCAGGGUGUUUGAACUGCAGGAUGAGAUCAGAAUCUUCUUGGAGGAAGAGGGGAAUGAACUUGCCCACAAGUUUAAACAACUUGCAUAUCUCAGUGACAUAUUUCAAAAACUCAAUUAACUAAAUCUGCAGAUGCAGGUAUGACUGCAUCCGAGACGCUUUCAGUGCAACCCCAGCUGAUGACUUCAGCACUGCAGAGGAGGAACAGUUCAUCGAUGUCGACCUCAGACUCAACACUGCGGCUGCAGUUCAA